rnacentral:rRNA from 1 species
UACGUAGGGUCCGAGCGUUGUCCGGAAUUAUUGGGCGUAAAGGGCUCGUAGGCGGUUUGUCGCGUCGGGAGUGAAAACCAGGUGCUUAACAUCUGGCUUGCUUUCGAUACGGGCAGACUAGAGGCAUGCAGGGGAGAACGGAAUUCCUGGUGUAGCGGUGAAAUGCGCAGAUAUCAGGAGGAACACCGGUGGCGAAGGCGGUUCUCUGGGCAUGUCCUGACGCUGAGGAGCGAAAGUGUGGGGAGCGAACAGGAUUAGAAACCCUUGUAGUCC